rnacentral:misc_RNA from 1 species
UGUGGGAGCUAGCCUGCUAGCGAUGGCGUCAGUUCAGUUAUUUCGUUGGUGGCUGACACUCCGCUAUCGCUAGCAGGCUAGCUCCCACA